UAGGUAGGCUCUCAACUUCAUACAUUUGAGAGCAAGUCUUGAACGUUACAAUUUCGAGGUUUCAUCAUUUUGCUCAAAUGUUGGAGCACACAAGUAUAACGCGAACACGGUGGAAGCCACAUAUCGCGGUACAAACAAGCGUGGAAAAAACUAACUCGAAUUCCUGGGGAUACCAAAAUCGUCCACUGCAAACACGUCGUCGACGCAUCCGCCAUCUUGCUACGGUCCACAUAUCGUUGGAGGCGUAAUCCACAGUAAAAAUCAAGAUGCCACAAAAUUGCACAGCCUAUGGUGUUUGAGAGCCCAAUGUGUUGUCAUAGGAACGUGGUACUUCCUGUUUCCUUUUCUCCCAGUACGUCCUAGGAAGGACGUUCCGUUUAAAUCUAAGUUGAGGAUCCUCCGUAUACCACAUCCUUAAGAUGAUGCCACUUCUGAAGGACACAAAGGAUGCAGCCUUCCAAAACGAUUUUUGUAUGUAAACCCAGGAAGCGAUUCUCCGUCACUAUGGAAAUCUGUCAUUUAAUCUGCAUUUAAUUUAUAUAGAUUGAAAUCCUGAAGCACCCCCAAGGUCCUCCUGCCCAAGAAGGCACGCCUGGCUCGUCCGAAGUUUGACAAUGAGCAUCAAGAUGAUUCAGAAACAGUUUUGGCGAAAGUGCUGGCACUGCUGUGAGACGAAGAUUGACUCCUGUUUUUGGAGGAAGAGAAAUUCUGAAUAUGACCCCGGUGGUUGGGUUAAAGUAUUGUCUCACAACAGAGUUGAUAUUUCCAGUUUUAAAUUGCUGACAGAGAGAGAUCUAGUGAAACUGGACUCAAAUUUUAGAUAUAUAAGAUCUAGCCAUAUCCCAGAGUCGGAUCUAUCGAGUAUGAAGACUAUUGUUAGAAUAGAAAAUCAAGAUUGGAUUUACUAUGUGUGGUGGUCAAAUAUUGUUCCAUACACUUCAACAGUAUGUUUGACCCAACCCCUUUUUAUUGUCACAUACAUUACAUGUACGCUCAGCCCUGUUCUAAGGUCACUCUCAUCCUGCACAGGUGAUUCUCUUCUCUAUACUAUACAUUUACUUUGAAAUCUUGAGAAAUCAAUAUGAAUUUAGAAUUUUAACUUAUAGUUUUUAAUAAGUAAUGUCAAGAUUAUUUAAUGUUCAAUUUAUUUUUAUUUAUAUAGGGCUUGUUCACAAUGUUGUGUUAAUUCAAGAAGCUUUACAAGAAAAAAUCGAACUAUUUAUAUGUAUAUAUCUUCAAUAUAGGAAAGAAUACAUGACAUUAAUGCAAAGUAAUUUUUUUAUGAAAAGUUUAAUAGAAGGAUGUUGUUAGAUCGUAGGAUCUGAAUUUCCUAAAAGCAACCUGUUAGUGCGUGUGUAUUUUCUAAAGAUGAUUAAAU